rnacentral:rRNA from 1 species
CAAUAGCGUAUAUUAAAGCUGUUGCAGUUAAAAGCUCGUAGUCGGAUUUCGGGUGGCGGCCAAUGGUUCGGCUCCGUGCCGAUACUGCUGGUCGUAGCCUCCACGCCGGUCGUCUUUCGGUGCUCUUAACUGAGUGCCUUAAGUAGCCGGAGCGUUUACUUUGAAAAAUUAGAGUGUUCAAAGCAGGCCUCGAGCCUGAAUGAUGUUGCAUGGAAUAAUUGAAUAGGACCUCGGUUCUAUUUUGUUGGUCUUCGGAACUGGAGGUAAUGAUUAAUAGGGACAGACGGGGGCAUUCGUAUUGCGGCGUUAGAGGUGAAAUUCAAGGAUCGUCGCAAGACGGACUACUGCGAAAGCAUUUGCCAAGAAUGUUUUCAUUGAUCAAGAGCGAAAGUCAGAGGAUCGAAGAUGAUUAGAUACCAU